AGUGCACUAUCAAAAUCGAUUUCAGAAUUGGGGUUAUUCUUCAACCAUCCAUUUUUGAAGAAAACGACAUAGAGAAAGGGAGAGGAAGUCGAUUCCAACACUCUUGAGGUAAAUCCACAAAAUAUUAAGAAACAGGUUAACCCUCUGCCUUUUUGUUGAGGUAUAUUGUCGUUGAUGAAGGAUGAACGAGCGCAUAUUAACAACCGUCAAAUCCCUAACGCUGAGGGGCAAGACCCAUUUAUUGUACAAAUAUCGAAAAAUAGGUUAAUAUAGGUCUAGAAUCCAAUGAAAUGCAAUGAGACAGCAGCUGGAAUACUUGCAGACAGAGCUAUAUUCCUGUGGAGGAGCACCUUUAUCUCAUGAAGUAUAGAUAUUUAUUAUAUUAGAACAUUCUUUUGCUUGAAAUUGGUUGUUUCUGAAGUGGCGUCUAUGAAAAAGAAAUUUGUUUAAUGGUGUAUUAUUGCCACUACCUUAGGUUCUUAAGGAAUGGAUUGCAUUCCUUGAAGCAAGCAAUCUAGACGUUUCUUGAGAAACUCAUGUGUAUUGCAGUAGACAUGUUGUAGUGGGGCAGUGUGAAGUAGAUGUAACAAGUGUACUAAACUCAUGUGAAUAUUUUGGUAUGAUAUAUUUUUAAGAACAAA